rnacentral:rRNA from 1 species
UACGUAGGGGGCUAGCGUUGUCCGGAAUCAUUGGGCGUAAAGAGCGUGUAGGCGGCCGGUAAGUCCGCUGUAAAAGUCAAAGGCUUAACCUUUGAAUGUCAGUGGAUACUGCCGGGCUAGAGUCCGGAAGAGGCGAGUGGAACUCCUGGUGUAGCGGUGGAAUGCGCAGAUAUCAGGAAGAACACCAACGGCGAAGGCAGCUCGCUAGGACGGUACUGACGCUGAGACGCGAAAGCGUGGGGAGCGAACAGG